rnacentral:tRNA from 1 species
GGUGGUUCCGUGGUAGAACGCUUGCCUUGCAUGCAUGAGGUCCUGGGUUCAAUUCCUCAGCACCA